rnacentral:piRNA from 1 species
UGAGGCUGCAUAACUUGUUCGUGAAG